CUGGCGCUUCGUCCCGGCCUGAGGCCCAUACAAGGCGCUUCCUUCCCGCCGCGUCUGGCAGGCGGCCCGCAGGCGGCUGUGGGCGGGAGCUCGGCCCUCCGGGUCCGCCCGCGCCCGGGAGCCCGCGGCCAGGGGACUCUGCCAAGGAGGGGGCGGCGGCGGCGGCGGGGCCGGGAACGCGUGGCCUGGCCGGGCUGAGGAAACGGCAACCCCUCCCGGCAACCCCUCCCGGCCCUCGUACAGCGCCUCCAGGGACUUAAACUUGCCUCAGCCACGUGAUUACCCUGAUCUGCCUGCUGAGAGAUGAGCAAAGGUGGAGAGGGACUAGAUCUCAGCAGAGACAGCAGUUCCUGAGCGCCCACCCCCCAGCGCUUCCAGAAAUGCAAUGCAACAUGGACCAGCCUGUGAGCAUUUGCUCCUCCUCAGGUUUCCUUUGGGUGAGGAUGAAGAAUCAAGCAGAAGGGGCUGAGCCCAGGCAGGGUUUCUCACCAAAGUGGACAAGCCAGAAGUCUGACUGUAAGGGAAACCUAGAUGGUGCUAACAUGGAACCCUGGAGGCUGGAGAAGCAAGUUAAUCUAUACACUCAAGCCAACCCUGACUCACAGGGAAGUGACUUCAAAACAACUUUCAUAACUCCACCUGGAUGCUGGCCACCUUUCCCUUCUCAGCUCUGUCUUUGGCUUCGUGCCACUCCCUUAUUCUCUGAUCCUCCCUUUUCUUAUCUCUAACGAGGAGAAGGGGCCUAGAUGAAAAAUAACAAGAUCCCACGUUUGGUAAGAGCACUGAAUUUGGAGCUGUAACAGCUGCUCAUGUUGGCUCUCCUCAUUUCCUGCAUGAGCUUGACAGGUCAGUAGGCUGCUCUCUGGGCUUCAACUUUCUUAUCCCUUUAAUUAGGAGUUUGGGAUGGUAAAGUCCAAGCCCCCUAUAAGUGCUGCAAUUAUGAUUCUUUAAGUGGUGAAGGGGUGUGGCUGUGGACAAAGGACUAGAGUCUGAUGUCACUCUUGUCCUUUCUGUGAAUGGGUUUUAGGCUUUAAGGUAGCAGCAUUGCCUUCUUCCCCUCAUCCCCAGGGUCGCUCAGUGAAGCAGGAGUCAAGGGUCCCCCCAAAAGCCUUGUUCUUCAUACUGUCUCAUCUCACCCAGCACUGAUCCAACUCCAAAGCUGAUUUCAUCUCUGAAGUGUCUGACUGACAGAAGCUCCUCUCCUGGCACUGCCUCUCCUCUCUUCCUUCCAAUCUGGGCCCAGUUCUUAGGUUCAGCACCCCCAGACCUUCUGGCUGGGGAUUUCUCCUCAGCUGUACACCCUGCAGCAGAAUUAACUCUUCUAAUGCAUUCUCUACUGCUUAGUCGCUUCAGUUAUGUCUGACUCUGUGCGGCCCUAUGGAUUGCAGCCUGCCAGGCUCCUCUGUCCAUGGGAUUCUCUAGAAGCCGGAGUACUGGAGUUGGUUGCCAUGCCCUCCUCCAGGGGAUCUUCCCCACCCAGGGAUCGAACCUAUGUCUCCUGUAUUGACCUUUGAGUCAAACCCAAAUUCUGAGUAAAAACCAAACUUGAAUGGUCAAACUUAAGUUGUGUUCUAGAUACUUUGUGAAUCAAUUGGAACCUAAACAUUCAUUACACUGUUUCUAUAAUGGCUGUUGAUGAUGACCUUAAAAUGUUAGUUAAAUGAUGCUUUUAGGUUUUUCUUUUU
ensembl:lncRNA